rnacentral:rRNA from 1 species
AUUGAACGCUGGCGGCAUGCCUUACACAUGCAAGUCGAACGGCAGCACGGACUUCGGUCUGGUGGCGAGUGGCGAACGGGUGAGUAAUAUAUCGGAACAUACCUUGUAGUGGGGGAUAACUAUCCGAAAGGAUAGCUAAUACCGCAUACGCUCUAAGGAGGAAAGCGGGGUAUCGUAAGACCUCGUGCUAUAAGAGUGGCCGAUAUCUGAUUAGCUAGUUGGUGAGGUAAAGGCUCACCAAGGCGACGAUAAGUAGCUGGUUUGAGAGGACGACCAGCCACACUGGAACUGAGACACGGUCCAGACUCCUACGGGAGGCAGCAGUGGGGAAUUUUGGACAAUGGGGGCAACCCUGAUCCAGCAAUGCCGCGUGAGUGAAGAAGGCCUUCGGGUUGUAAAGCUCUUUUGUCAGGGAAGAAACGGUUGUGGCUAAUAUCCAUGGCUAAUGACGGUACCUGAAGAAUAAGCACCGGCUAACUACGUGCCAGCCGCCGCAGUAACAC